rfam:Ovis aries breed Texel chromosome 6, whole genome shotgun sequence.
UGGCUCAGAUGGUAAAGCAUCUGCCUACAAUGCAGGAGACUAGGGUUCAAUCCCUG